GAACUGAAGUAUAUAGAUCGUGACUAACUCACCGCUGUGGGUCUCGCACGGCUGCCUCCUACCUAGAAGUGACAGCCUAGACUCUCGGCACAGGAGUUCUGGGUGCAAAAAUACUGUCACUAGACAUCCACCACUACCACUCCCAUCUGAAGCAUCUAAGAAACUAAACUAUGGCUUCUUUUCAUUUUCCUUCAGCGUGUUAUUAUUAACUCCUGGCGCCUCUAAUUGCUCACUGAAAACAGUGGUUUGGAUAUUAAUAGGCUGAAAAUCAAGAACCCUACCUGGGGCUCGUUGUCACGGAAACGGGCCAAGUUGUUGGAGAAAGAGAAACUGGUGAGGCGAGUGACUGUAGUAUGUAGCAGCUUGGAGGAGUGAAACUCUUUAGGAGUGGAAGGGUAAGGGUCCUUGGAGGAUGGCUUGGGGCACGCUGAGCUCCUCUCCUUGGGGCUGCACCCGGCCACUCCGCUUCGUUUCCCGGGCCCUUCCGCUGCCCUUCUCUCCCAGCCUGAGCGCGGAGCUACCAGCAGCGCGCAGACAAGUUCCCCAGAAGGGAAUCUGAGCAGCCCCAGGCUGAGACACCCAGCAGAGAAGGGAGUGGGGAGGUCGGACAGGCUAAAGGCAGAACCCUCUUCGUCCCCAUGCCAAGGUUCUGGGGGAGGCAGCCCCGGGACCAGAACACGCAUCCCGCUCACCGCCCUCCCAGCGCCCCCGGGCGAUGCUCCAGGAUCUGGAUCUCCAAAGCAAGCGCCCAGCUAGCUAAGCGCCUCCGAAACCCACGCGGAUUCCCGCGCCCCGGGGCGAUCUCUGCCGCAGCCGCCAGGGCCUCCCGCGGGCUCUACGCCCGGCACCCAGGGCUGGGCCCCCACCCGGUCCCCUGGGCGCCGUGCGUCACGCGCCCCCUGGGCCCAGCGCCUCCUCAGCGCUCGCGCCGCGCGCCCCAGCCUCGCGCAUCCGCACCCGCACCCAGCUUCCUCCGGCCGCGGGGCCCUCCCGGGACUCACCUGCGCUGGGGCUGUAGCGGCGGCCACCCCGAGCCCGGGGGCGGCAGUGGCGGCGGCGCAGGGGGAGGAGGGCAGCGCGGGGCUCCUGGCACAGCGGCCGCCGGGCGCCUGGUGCUGCCGAGCCGCGGACCCGCCCAGAGAUAUAAAUAACAUUAUCUGAGGAGGGACAUUCCUGCCGGGGGACAUCGCUGCUGCCGGGACCAGAUAGUCCCGCGGCGGGGGCGGAGAGGCGGGGCCGCAGCCUCCCGCAGCGCCAGGCCCAGCCCCCGCCUUCCCCACCCACUCCCGCACCUGCCAAUCAGCCUCCGAGCCCCGGGCCACCUGCCCGGCCUCCGCCCGGCUCCCCCGGCCAGCCUCCGCCUCCCGGAGGACCGCCCGAGUCCGAGCCACCCGAAGCCGGAGCGGUCCGCAGCGCCCCCAUCGCCGCUCACCUCCCCUCACCGCGCGCUACCCCGAGCCCCCUGCAGCGGGGAAAAGAUUUGGCUGCAGCUCCGGCCUAAUUCGUGCACCCAGAGCGGCAAGCCUGGCCAGGAAAAUGAGCCCUCCAACCUUUCCCACCCCGCGUCCCCACUGUAUACAGUCAGGCUUUUCAAAUAUGUUAAAAGACCCGCUGAGGCCGUAGGUUAGGAGAGGCGGGCGCCCGGGCAGCGCGCCCUCGCUGCGGCGUGUUUGGGAGAGACAGAUUGUUCCCGGGGGCUGGUGUGUUAGAAAGCGCACUGUGGGGCAGGCUUCUCGGGGCUGGCAGUAAGAGCAGACGCUGGGAGGGCUGGCGUGGGCACUGGGCGGGAGACCCUCGCCCUCAGCCCGAGAGCUCGGUGUCUCUGUUUGCAAACCUGGUGUGGUCUGGGCGGACCCCGCAAAGCCGGAGGGGCACAGCGCGAAGUCCCACGGCUUGCAUGUUACAGGGACUGUAAUCAACAGGCAAGCUGCCACCCCAGCCCACCGACAUCUCCUGGCCGGCCCUGGUUUCCAGGGAGCCGAGGCUUCCUCGCCGCAAGCCUGGGUGGGGUGGGAUGCUGUAGGCCCGAGAAAACACUAGAAACGCUGGUGCCAAAGAGGAAAGACAACAGCACCUCCGCUCACCUCGGGAGAGACACAGAAGUGGCAGCUUGAAAAGCUGUCCACUUUUUUGACUUUCUUACUAUACAAGGUCAUUGUUCAGUAAGCCUUGGUGAUACACCUUGCCGCAGUUUUCAUCUCUUUUCUCCAUCAGCCGUGCUGGGACGGUUUCUACCCAGACAACAACCCAGGGAAUCUCAGGUGUUUUGGAGAUGGCAGUGGCGAUGUGAAGUGCAAAGAUGUAGAAAAGAGUUUUAACUUUGAUGAUGCCUGGUGUUCUUCACAACGGAACAGUCUUGCUCCUGAGUUAUUUGCUUGGGAGUAUAAUUAUGCUGUUUUCCAGGAUUCACCAGGAAA
ensembl:lncRNA